GUGCAGCCUGGAUGCCACAGGGCUGUAUCCUCUUUCUUCCCAUGAUAUCUCCUCCCAUGUGCCCAGACAUAUGAGUCCUGGCAGUGCCCGCUAAUGAUACAGCUGGUAGUAUCUUCUGUCUUCCCUCCAGGAAGCUUUGUUUGGUUUGAAGCCACUGAGCCAGGAGACAGAAAUACUUUGGAGACACCUUGUGAUCAAGUCAGCAAAAAUUCUGUACUCUUCAUUGAUACAUGAGAAAGAACGUGAGAAGCACACAGUUUGUCCCUAACUCUAGGCUGGGAAGAGAAUUUCAUCUGCAAACAACAGAACUUCCAGGGGAGAGUCCUGGGAAGUGAAAACUGGGAGUGAAUGGUGCAGAAUAUGAAGAGGUUCAUGGUAAGUCAAUUUUUCUUAAUGAUUCAUUCAUUCACUUUUAUAACAAAUGUUUUCUGAGACCUUCUAUGUGCUGGCUCCCAGGCAUGGUGCUGGGGAUAUGAGAAAUAUAUUGACAAACAAAAUUAAUCAUUGCCAUGAACCAGGGAUAUGACAUUUGGGAAGGUUAAAAU